GUCCAUAUGUUUGGUUUAUAUGGUCUGGCCUGCCCACUGAUGUUUAAAAUUUAAAGGGCCGCGGUAUUCUGACCGUGCGAAGGUAGCAUAAUAAUUAGUCUCCUAAUUAGAGGCUUGUAUGAAUGGUCGGACAAGAUGGAAACUGUCUCUAUACAAUAAAUAAAAUUUAAUAUUUGAGUAAAAAAGCUUAAAUAAAAUGGAGGGACGAUAAGACCCUAUAAAGCUUUAUGAUAUGUUUUUUUAAUAUAAAUUGUUUUGUUAUUAACAUAUUUUAAAUUAUAUAUUAUUUUACUGGGGCGGUAAAAGUAUAAUGAAUGAAUAACUGCUUUUAUUUUGUAUAACAAUUAUAGUUGAAAAUAAAUUGAUCCAUUAUUAAUGAUUACAAGAACAAGUUACUUUAGGGAUAACAGCAUAAUUUUUUUUGAGAGUUCUUAUCGAAAAAAAAGUUUGUGACCUCGAUGUUGAAUUAAGGAUACCUUAAGGUGCAGCAGUUUAAAGG
rnacentral:rRNA from 1 species